rnacentral:tRNA from 1 species
GCCGCCAUCGUCUAGUCCGGUCGAGGACACCGCGUUCUCAACGCGGGAACACCGGUUCAAAUCCGGUUGGCGGUA